rnacentral:rRNA from 1 species
CACGCGAGUGGAUGCCAAUCCCAAAACCUCUCUCAGUUCGGACUGGAGUCUGCAACCCGACUCCACGAAGCUGGAUUCGCUAGUAAUCGCGCAUCAGCCACGGCGCGGUGAAUACGUUCCCGGGCCUUGUACACACCGCCCGUCAAGCCAUGGGAGCCGGGGGUACCUGAAGUGCGUAACCGCGAGGAGCGCCCUAGGGUAAAACUGGUGACUGGGGCUAAGUCGUAACAAGGUAAC